rnacentral:rRNA from 1 species
CCCUUAGAUGUUCUGGGCCGCACGCGCGUUACACUGAUGCAUUCAACGAGCCUAGCCUUGACCGAGAGGUCCGGGUAAUCUUUGAAACUGCAUCGUGAUGGGGCUAGAUUAUUGCAAUUAUUAAUCUUCAACGAGGAAUGCCUAGUAAGCGUGAUUCAUCAAAUCGCGUUGAUUACGUCCCUGCCCUUUGUACACACCGCCCGUCGCUCCUACCGAUUGAGUGUGUUGGUGAGGAGUUCGGAUUGGCUCUUAGUGGUGGUUCGCCACCACCUAGAGCUGAGAAGUUCUCCAAACCGCCCCACUUAGAGGAAGGAGAAGUCGUAACA